rnacentral:rRNA from 1 species
UUUUACGGAGAGUUUGAUCCUGGCUCAGGACGAACGCUGGCGGCGUGCUUAACACAUGCAAGUCGAACGAUGAAGCCCAGCUUGCUGGGUGGAUUAGUGGCGAACGGGUGAGUAACACGUGAGUAACCUGCCCUUGACUCUGGGAUAAGCGCUGGAAACGGCGUCUAAUACCGGAUACGACCUGCCCCGGCAUCGGGUGCGGGUGGAAAGUUUUUCGGUCAAGGAUGGACUCGCGGCCUAUCAGCUAGUUGGUGAGGUAAUGGCUCACCAAGGCGACGACGGGUAGCCGGCCUGAGAGGGUGACCGGCCACACUGGGACUGAGACACGGCCCAGACUCCUACGGGAGGCAGCAGUGGGGAAUAUUGCACAAUGGGCGAAAGCCUGAUGC